CACUCCCCUGAGCAGGCGGUGGAGCGGCUCGCCGCCCCAGGCCGCGGCCGAGUCUAGGCCCCGCCGCUGUUCACCCUGGGAAAUGUAGUCCGUGUUGCGCCUAGCCGGAAGGCGGCGCCCUGCGGAGGAGGCCGGGAGCACGUGGGUUGGGGACCUGCAGAGCCCCGCCUGUCCUCGGCCUACCGCGGCGAGCAGGCAUUCCGGGUCAGACCGGCGCGGGGCGCUGCGGCCCAACUCCUUAGUAGGACGACGUGACUCGAGGGGCCGGAGGACGGAGGUGGGAGCCCGGGCUAGAGGGUGGAGGCUGGGGAGGUUGCCUGGUCACUCUGGCGCUCCGCUGCCGGGGGCAUCCUCCGGCCCAGCAAAGGUGCAGCCUGGGAAGAAGGCGUCAGCACCACCCAGAGAAGAGGAGAGGGGACUUGGCACGCCUCAGGAAGGAAAAAAGGAAGGCUCUCGGGACCACCCAAUAAGCAACCGGGAAACCACAUACCAUGGACAGUGCUCGGGGAAUUUCGGCUCCUCCUCAUCCCUGGAGGUUCCAGGGAUCUGGCAGAGAAAGAAGCCCAGUCUCACAGCAAUGACUCCUGAACAUCCUUUGCAAACACUAUUUAGGACAGAUGGACUGAAGUAGGCCCUGGGGAGAGUUGGGGGCAUUUCCGGAGGCCAGACCAAAGGUGAUCUCCAGGAGAUUUGGAUGUUAGUGCAGGAUAGCUCAGAGCCAAGUGGCAGAUAAGUCUUUGGGAGCCAGAAGGGCUCUUUCUUCUCUAAGGAACAAGUGUAGACCUAUAGGGGCAAGAACCUGUGGCAACCCUGGGAGAGGUCUGCAGAUUCAGGAGGGAACAUCCCAAAACUCAGCAGAGGAGGAGAGGGAGCUUUUGUUGGUCACCUGGAACCACUACCAAUCCAUGUUCAUGUCAAAUUAAAUGAUCACUUUGAAGUUU
rnacentral:lncRNA from 1 species